UCGUGGAGUGAUCUGUCUUGUUAAUUCAGAUAACGAACGAGACCUAAGCCUUUAACUAGCCGUAGGCCCUUUCCUUCGGGGGAGGGUUUAGUUUGUCGGGAUUGGCAUAAGCCAGUUCCUAAACCUACGUGACAUUUGUCAGCUUCUUAAAGGGACUUCAUUCGUUCUUGUAGGAUGAGGAAGAUUUAGGCCAUAACA
rnacentral:rRNA from 1 species